GCGAAGAAGCUAGAGGGAUUUAGUUAUCUGGAAAUUUAGAUAUGAGAUGGGGUACGUAGCUGAAGACUUUUUUGUUUUGUUUUUCGCCACGCGUUUUCUUUGAUGGGCUAAUUAAUUGAAGUGUCCUUUUCUUCUUCUUUUUCGUUAAAAUGAAAUAUUGUCUUCUGGUUAUCGGUGUUUUGAAUGUAAUCGGAGGGAGACCUUUCGCCUGCAAUUUCUCAGAUAUACAAGAGCUAAGAACGUAGAAGAAAGACUCAGGAACUCACUGAUUGUUUUGCUUUUAGAUCCUCGACGUUUGUCUUCUUACUGGUUUUUGGAUAAUAACGGUGUGCUGGAAAGUACAGGUGACAUGGACUGAUCCUGUGGCGGGUGGCAGGCAGGAAAGGCACUUAUUGCUGUCUUCGAUGGUCAUCUUUGAUUCCUCCGCUGCCUUUCUCUGGCUCUUGCUGCUAUUAUUUGUUUCGCAUUUUCUAAAAUGUAUAGAUGAUGGGAUUUUGCCUUAUGUGUAAAAAUGUACAUGAAUGCAGAGGUGACACUUGUACUCUUUAUCUUAUGCAUGGUCCUGCGUGGCAUGUUUGGCUUCCAUGAUAAGAGGAGAUAGCGUGUAGAUGUGGAGGUGAGGGCACCGUACCCAAACCCAUAUAUAUAAUUUGACAAAGUGGGCGUUGGAUCAAAUCCCAUAUAAUUGAAUUGCAUAGGAUAAGAGAAUAGCGGGUUUCGUUGAUUAAUUAGUACUAUUUUCAAUAAUAAUAGUAAUAGUUAAUCAAGGGUUCACUUCUAUGUAGUUUCUAGUGUCAGUUAUAUGAUUAAUGGUUAUUGAAGAUUUAUAUAAUUAUUAUUUUUAAAAUAUUAAUAAAAUUAAUUGAGAUAUACAUAAAUUAAUCCGAAGAUACAUGCAGUAAUAAUAAUAAUAAUAAUAAGUUAAUCAAAUACAUUUUGCUCUGAUCUUCCAAUGUUUUGAUAUAAAAUCAUUAAACAAGCGGCGCUGCUUGACUUGUGUGCCCUUGCGUUUGUUUUUGCUUGUUACCUUCUAGGAUGAAAUUUGGUUGCGUAAGGAACAUUAUUAUAGAACUUCUCUCUCGUUUUUUUUUUUAAAUCUUAUUUUAAAAUUACAUUGUCUUGUUUUUUUAGCUGUUUUUAAAAUUUUUGAAUUUUUUAUUUAAAAUUAAUUUUUUUGAUAUUUUUAAAAUUAAUUAUUUUGAUAUAUUAAUAUAAAAAAUAAUUUUUUUAAAAUUAAAAAAAAUAUUUUAAUAUAUUUUUAAAUAAAAAAUAUUUUAAAAAACAACUAUUAUAAUAUAAUCUUAGUUGUCUCAGAUCACCACAAUUCAUCACGUUCUUUCUCAUUGUCGGUGCCAACUACUAACCUGAAAUUAUGAAAAUAUAUAGGUUAUCUUCCGGAGGGGAAAGCAAACUUGGCUGUGUUCUUCAAGCCACCUUCCAAUAAAUCAUGUUUUUUUUUUCUUUUGCCAAGUCAAGACUCAAGAGCGGUCUAAAUUUAAUAUUUGUGACCUUUUAAACCCGUGCAUCAAAGGAAGAAGAAAUUCGAACUGGAGUCCAAACUCAUAUCACGUGACUCCAAUUAAAACGAGCCAGCUGGCCUCUUAUUCGAUGGGAUUUCGAUUGCUUGAGCGAAUGCGAUUAAAUUGGAAUUUUCUUCUAAUCUUCAACACAAAACAACAUCACGUUUUAAGUAUAUAAAAUAUGUAAAAAUAAACUUUGAUGCAGGAUGCUAAUUAUUAUCCAAGUUCUCGAGGUUGAAGAUUCGAUGCAAGUGUGCUGUUUUUUUUAGUUGAUCGAUAACCAUUUUUUUAAGCAGCUUGCACCGCAAUUAAUUCCCAUCUAAGCUACUGAAAUUAAUUUCCAUUAAAGCAAAGUAGCUUAUGUGUGAAUCAAGAUUAAUAGAUUCGUACUCAAAAUUAAUUUAAGACUUGAAAAAUGAUUGCAGUCUAGGAGCAUGGGUUUGGUGUUGUUGCCGGAUCUAGAUAUUUUAGGUCUGGUGUUUGGGCCUAGGAUGGUUGUAAUGUCCCGGCGGUAAUGUCCAGGCGUUUAGGUUUGACAUAUUUUUUAAAUUCAAGUGAUAUAAGUCUGAUAUGAUUAUUAGAUUCAAGACAUCUAAAUAUAAUAAUUAUUCAAGCUCAUAAUAACAUGAGUCUAACACUUCCAACUAUCAUUGCAAUAAUAAUUUAUAUUGUUUACUAAUUGGUCUACAACAACGUGUGAGUAAUCUAUCUAAUUUAUAACUAGUAAUUUUAUGAUGUUCAAAAACUAACUAAUACGAUACUAUUAGUUAUUUUCCGGGGCUCACUUAAAAAAAAUAAAAAGAUACAACUAGAAGAGAGAAAUUCUAGAAGCAAAUAUUCUUAUAUUUUUUGGUGUGUUAUGAAUUUUAUAUUCUUUUUUAUCUUUGUGUUUUUUUUUAAAGGUGAAAAAUAAAUAAUAAAAUGUCACUAGUAUUUUGUUAAUAUCAUAAAAAAUUUCUUGUUAGUUCAUACAUUUGUAAUAUAUAUUUUUCAUUAAAAUAACUCUUUUAUUUCUUAAAAUAAUGUAAAUAAAGAAACGAGAAAACAAAACAAAAUAAGCAAGUAAAAAUUAAUUCACUCUAAUCAAUUAGGUUUAUUCAUAUACUUGUUUUUAAUUAAUUUAAUUUUUUUAAUCAUUUAAAUUUCACCUUAGACAGGAAAUGUUUUUUUUUAAUAGAAUAGUUAUUAGAUUACAAGUUUUGAAAAAGAACAAGGUUAAGCAUUCAAUUUGGUGCUUUGAUAGAAAGUUGUCAUAUAGAGACAUUAACUCAGGACAUAGAGAGGCUUAAUCAAUAAUAAUAAUAAUAAUAAUAAUAAUAAUAAUAAGUUUUUGGAAGGGUAGCUGACUGAACCAAUUAUAGAUAAAAUCCAAUGAAUAAAUUCUAUCCAAUUCUAGAUUACUAGUCCAGUCAUGUCACUUAUGAUAUAUAUAUAUAUAUAAAGUAGCAUGACUGAGCUAUAUAUAUUAGAAUAUUUUGAUAUAAAUAAAGAAUAUUUGCCCAUUAACGUGGCUCUUUUCAGGCCACCAAAGUGACGAUGUAUUAUUUCUAUAUAUUUCCUAUAAAAGAGAUUUUUUCUUUUUCUUAUUUAGAUGUUCCAAAAUAUAUGUUUUUCUUUAAUAAAAAAAAGUUAAGGCAUUGAAUAUUGAAUUUUAACCCCUCUUUAAGGUUUGAAUUCAAGAUUUUCCUUUUCUUUUUAUACAAGCUCAAUAAAUGGGUUUCACCGUUACACAUUAUUUAUUAUAUUUAUUUCAAUAUUGACUUAAAAGUUAUAUAUUCCAUGAAAAGAAUAAUAAGUUGAUAAGACUUUUAACUUUUAAUAAAAGUUAAAAAAAAUAAAAAUUGGCAAACACCUUUCCUUCAUGAAUGCUUUUCCAUUACAAUCAGAGGGGCAAACGGCGAUUUUUUUUUAUAUAUAUAUAUCUAUACAAUAAAAUUAAGGGAAAAUCCAAGGAGAGAAACUAGAAUAAAAAGGAAUAAUCCAUAAAAAGAAAGUGUGUGUAAGGGCAAAUCCAUAGAAAAUAAAGAGCACAUGGACAAUUGUGUGAUUAACGGGAUUGGAAAAUGCCAAAAUAAAUUAAUGUUCGGGAGUGUAGCAUAGUUUUGAAAUUGGCACGGCAGGAAUCGAGCCAGGUUAAAGAUAAAACAGGAAAGAAAAAACCUUAUGUAACCCGGAUGAUUUGGAAGGUUGGCUCGAUAAAACUAGGUCAAAAACUUGGUUGCAACUUGUUAAUUUUUAUUUUUAAUAAAACGAUAUCAUUUUAAUUUUUUUAAAAAAAUUAAUAUAAAAAACUUAAUAACCCAAUAAAACCUGAAUUUUAAAUUGAGUUGGGUUUAAAAAUUAUGAAGUGUAGCAUCACAAUAAUUUAAAAAAAUAUAAAAAAUAAAAUUUUUUUUGAAAGGAAGUUUUUAUAAAACACUGUAUGUAACGCAGUUAAAAUGGACGUGUAAAAAGUAGACGCAUCGUGAGAGAAUCCGAACCCGCCUAGCUGUAAAGUAAGUGAAGGAAGGCCACGUUGGCAAGGGAAGAAGGCAACGUUUGCGGUGUUUUGCCAUUGCCGUUGGUAACAGUGAGAGAAGCAAUUUACAGAAAAAUGCAAAAAAAACCCCACCCCUGCUCCUUUUGUAAACUUUGUACCGAGUAGUGACAGAAAAUGGGAGGUGAAAGGAAGAAGAUAUUGGUGGGUCUAAUGGUGUUAAUGAUUUUGGGAUUUGCAGUCUAUUUCAGGCUUUGGACAAUUGACUAUGCUAUCUCCUCUGAUGACACUGAAUUGAUAAGGUUUCUUUCUUUCUUUUGAUCUAAUCACCAAAAUACAUGCUUUUAUUGUUGGUAGGUAUGAUUUUGGUAAGAAAAUUAGUGGGUUUUCUUCCAUUUCGUAAAAUGUACAAUGUUUUUGAGAAUUCAAUGAUGUUAUAUUACACAAGCCUGGAGCUAAAAAAUGCCUUCAAUUUUACCUUUUAUUUAUUUAUUUCUUGAUUCGCAAAGAGCUUUUCAGCUGGCUUUACAAAUUUCACUCCUAUUAACGUGAUUAUGCUUGAAUUAGAGAGUCACUUAAGUGGAUUGAUUGUAUGAUUAUGCAUGUAGAGUUACACUAGCCUGUUGGCUGUUACUACUAAUUAUGAUUCUGUUAGUACACAUUCAAUCGCAGAACCUAAUUAAUUAUGCACAACUGGAGUUAAAUAAUGAACCAAUUUGCAUUAGAUCUGAAUUCUUUCCUUAAAAUGAAAAGGGCUUUGGGUUGGUUCACCAGCUUAUAUGCUAUUUUUACAAUGUUUGCUUCUUUUCUAGUAAAAAUCAAAGCUGUCAUUGAUUCUGAAAGCAAGCUGAAUAACUUUGUAUACUUUUUGUUCCCAGUACAGCAGUGGAAUACUUUCCAUAUUUUAUUUGUUUUACAAUUGCAGUAAUUCUUAUAACUGGUGUUGUACAUUUUAGUAAUUAAGGCGCAAAUGCAAUUGUUUUACCUUCAUCCUACUUCUUAGCUCCACGGUGUUUCUGUGCUUUGGAAUUUUGUAGAAGACAGUUCGAUCUUGCCAACAGGGAAGCAUUGGAUGAAUCUGCUGAGUGGAGGAUGAAAUAUGAUGAGGAGGUAGAGAGAGCUGCAAAGUGUGAUAAGCAACUGGUAGAGGUGUGCUUACUUCUAUUUCUCCUGAUCUGUUUGUUAUUCUUGGUGGUAUUGCACACUUUAAGUUUUUAACUUUGCUUAGUUGGGAAUAUCAGUUUUACUGUUAUAAGGGGUCUGUCUUUUUUUAUCCUUACGACUCUACUCAAAUAAUCCAAGUCCAUAAGUCCUUUCGUACUGAUACUCACUCACCAUCUUCCUGCCUUUGACUUUGGGAAGGAAAAAAAAAAAAAACUGAAACUUCCUAUUUGAAUGAAUCUUGUAAAUGCAUUUUGGAGCUAGUAAUAAGUUAAUUAUGUCUUCUGAUUAUUGAAUUUGCUUAUAGUUGGAAUCCUUUUGGUUCAGCGACUUUAACCAGACUCAUCUUCAUCAUUCUUGCCUUGAAUUUAGUCAAUUAUUGAUUUUUGAACUGUACCUUCCAUUGGGUUUUCUGAUGUCAAAAGGUCUAUGUUUUGAGUUGGCAAGCUCCAUGAGCAUUGUUAUGUCUUCUAGUUACUACUUUUGCAAUGCUCUGGAUUUUCAAGUGGAAAUCAAAGUUGAUAAUAUUAUGUAUGAAGAAUAAGGAGUCCAAUGUGAUUUGAACGGAAGUAUGUUAUAUGGCAGUGCUAAUACACACACAAAGCAAUUAAAAACUUUAUAUGUAUAGCUUCCAUGAGAUUGAAAGAGUUACCUUACAUGAAUUUCAGAUUAUAAAAAUGAAGUCAUGUAGUGAAACUGCUGUGAAAAUGUUGUUACAUUGGUUGUUCUGGGCAUUAAUUUUGCUGCUCUUGGAAGGUCGUUUGUGUAACAGCUGUACAUCUGGGUUUGAAUACUAUAUUUGGGUGAACAUAUCUAUACUCGAUGUAGACAAUGCGUUUUUCUAACCAGAUGAUUUAGCCAGAAUAAUUAUUGAAUUACUCUUGUGCUUUUUGCAAAUAUUGGAGCAUAACUUAAGAAUAAUUCUGAGGGAAAUGUUCCAUUAUCUUUGGAUAUUAUUAAUAUUUCUGCUGGCAAAUGGGCGGUUUUGACAUUUCUAUGUAUGUGGUGUGCAUGUGUAAGAGAAAAUGUGCUUUCUGAACCAUCAUAUGUGGAUUGGCACCUCAAUUUUCAGCUCAUGGAAUAGUCAAAACUUGCACAUUUCUGUUUCAUAUGAUAUCUUAUAAUGCUGGUGGGUUUGGAGCAAUAAUAUUCAUGUUGGGAACUUAGAAGCUUUUUUGUUGUUUUGUAUCAUGUUUGCUUUUGGUUUUCAGUUUUUGUGUUGAAAUGUCUGUGAACAAACUGUGAAAACUUAUCUAUUUGUAUUGUCCCACUGAAAAAUGAAAACCAGUAAACAGUUACCACAAUUUUGGAAACCAGUAGAAAUGGUUUUCAAAUAUUUUCACAAGUUAGUUUUAUUUCCCCUAAUUUCACAUAUUAUUGGCAUAACUUACUAUCUAUUGCCCUGUUCUCUUGAUUACCAUUACCACUGGUGAGUGCCGGUCAGUGAUGAUCUGCAAUCACCAAUUGACAACUCACUGUCAACCACCACCAAUUAGUUGCAAUGAACUCCACUGAUUGCAAUCGACUACCAUCUGUCAGGGAUAGCUAAUGUCACUGCUGAUUGCUAUUUUAGAAAUAAAUGUCGAAAUGAAAACUAAAAAGGAAAAAAGAACAAAAUAUAGAGGUAAAAUGGUAAAAGGACAAACUGGAAGUGAUAUUUCAAAUGGGAUUGUGAUUUCCGCUUGUCAAUUUCUUUUCAAAGUAUAUAGGACCUAAAAACUCAGCCUUUUGCAUCUGACUAAAUUUUUCUUGUAUCUUGUGGCACAGAUAAAGCAGAAAGUGGAGGAUGCUGCCUCCGUUAACCAGCAAUUGGUAAUGCUACAAAAGGUGACUCUCCAACAUCAAACAUCUAGUUGCUUACUGUCGCAAGUUCUUAUGUUUCUUCCUUCUGAUAUUCAAUUUUUAUGGUUGAGAUCUGUUUGAUACAUUUUCUGGAAUUUUUCUUUCAACAAUAAAGGAACUCUAGAAUCAAGUAGCUUGGUCAUGUUUUUUGCCAAACAUAGUUUGUUUCUCAAAUGAAAAAUCAUCAUCAAGUGAAACUGUGCUAAUGCCUUUUGUCUACUACUGAAAACUUCCAGAAUUGAUAAUGUUGCUUGAGUAAGAUCCUUAGCGUAACAAAAAAACCACCUUGUUCAUAUUUAUAAUCUUUUUCUGGAGUCUGGACCCUCAAGGAGGACCUGGAAUUCUAUUAUUCUCGUUAUAAUUUGGAAUCUAUUUGCAGUUUGAAUUUGUGUGUUUUUUUCUGACACUUUCUCACAUUACCAGGAAAACAUGGCCCUAGUUGGAAGGAUGGAAGUCUUGAAAAACAAGCUGGAGGCUUCCAAGUUAAAGUGUCGCUCAAAAAUAGAUCGGUGACUUGAACAGAAUUCUAACUUGCCCUUAUGUGUAUCUAAGUGCCUGUAAUUUACUUGUUUACAGAAGAUCUCAAAUGCUGUGAGAUUGCAGUUUCUGAUGAGUCCAACAAAGGGAAAUGGUUUUUGAAUGCGAUUCAGUCUCUUACCCAUAGCUAUGUACAUUACAUACAUACAAGGUAUCUGCUUUUUAGUUAAGAGAAUGUUGAAUGAAUUAUAAUGCUGUUGUACUAGUCAUAAUAAAUUUCCCUUUGCUCUCCUCUCCCUGGACUUUACUCCGUGAAAAGGGAUUUAUGGAUAGAGAAUAUGCCUUAUAGCCACUAGAUUGGUUACAUACAGUACUCGUUUUAUUUAUAUAAAAUAUAUUUAUUAUUAAUAAAAGCUUUUUAUUUUUAAUAUUUAAUUAUAUUUGAUUAAUGAAUCUAAAGUAAAAAUAAAGUUGGUGAAAUAAAAAUGUUUUGCAUAGAAAAUUAUAAAGUUAUAAUUAUGAAAUUUUUAUUGUAUCAAAAAAUUGUUUUUAAAUGUUAUUGGUAAAUGUUCUAUUAAGACUGAAUAUUAAUUAGAGUUGUUAAGGUUGAUUUAUAUUAUGUCCAUUCUUUUAUAAAAGGAGACAACUGAUCUCCUAAACUAAAGUAUAAAGUAUAAGAAAUACAUGAAACUAAUAUGUAGAUGCUUGUCAGAUAAUAUAUGCAUUGAGCUGACCCGCAAAAGAAUUUCAUAUAAAAAGAUCAUCUAUGUUUAUGAAAAAGUUCUCAUGAUAGUUGUAUAAGUGAUUUUUAAACUUGACAUCAUCAAGUUAUUUUAUAUAGAGAGUUAUGCUUUAAUCUUAACCACACGUGUUAUUCAAGGGUAACAAUUAGACAUAUAUUGAGUAUAACAAACUAUAUAAAUGUAUUUGAAUAAUAAAAAAUAUCAGGUCAAAUAUCGAUUAUAUAAUGGCUACAAACAUUGUCAAAAAGCUUUUUUAGUUUAAUUAUUUUUAGUAAGUAAAAAUAAUAAAGAAACCAAUAACUUAGUUCAACAAGAUUAGGAUACAAAAUGAUUUUAAAUCAUUAUGGUAUCAUCCAUGUGUUGAUAAUUAGAUAUGGCUAAUAUUGGAUGUAAAGAUGCAUAAAAUUAUAUAGUCUCAAUGGUAAAAAAAUGCACUAAGUUGUAAAAACAAGAGUAAAUUGAUCUUUAUAUAGGGAUGCAUGAAAGAUAAGGUUGAUAAGGAAACUAAAAGAUUGGCUUCAUAUCUAUAUUACUUGUAUUUUAAGUGUGGUAAUAAUGCUAUUACUAAUAUAUAACUUAAACUUUUUAUUGUUGAUUCUAAUAAAAUAAAUUAAAUAAGUUGUUUAUUGAGUACAAACAAUCAAGAAGUCCACAAGUCCAUGUUGCAAAAAGUUAUUCAAGAAAAGCUACAACAUGCUUUAGUUAAAAUAGUUGAUUGGUUGAUAUGUGAGACACGAUUAAUGUAUUUGAGUAAAAAUAUUCAUUAAUAACAUCAUAUAUGGUUGAUUGUUCAAUCAAUUUCAAUAUUAAUUGAUAAAGUAUCUUCCUUCAUUUAUUUAAGAAUAAAUAAAUACAAGAAGCAUUUUUUACAUUAAAAAUAAACAUCCACAUGUCAUCGAAAUAAAAAUAAUGAUUGGUCAUAAUAAAACAAAAGAAUUAAGCUAGAAUCAAUCUAGUGUAAUGGAAUCAAUCACGUUGAAAUAAUUUUAAUCAACUAAAAGGUUUAAAGAAGCAGUUAAUUAGACAAUCAGAAAAUAUAAUUAAUUAAAGAAAAGCAAUCAAACAUAGUAGUCUGAGUGUGUGCAAGUAAUCAGAAGGUUCAUUCAUACUCGGAACAUGAGCCCUCAAUAUAUUAAACUCAUCAUAAUUAUAAAUUAGUUAGGAUUCAUAUGGUUAUUAAUAAAAUAAUUAAACUUGUAUAUACAAAUUAUUAUAUAAUCACUUAACUAUUAGAUAUAAUUUGUAGUAUUAAAAUUGGAUGUUUACAUGAAAAUCAAGCACUUUGUCAUUAUAAAUAGACCAUCUGGUUAUAGUUAAAGCUGUCUAACCCUACAUACGUAAUUUUUAUACAAAUUUAUCUUUUUUUCUUUCAGUUUUUCAUGCUUUCUUUUCCAUUUUCAUUAUUAUCCAAUAUUUUUGAAUUCCUAUAGUUCAUCUUCCUCUAUCUUUUUCUCUCCAUGUUCUUUUUCUUGUGUGGUAUUAAUUGAGAUAAAUUAUCUUUUCUAAAUGUUCAAAAUCUUCAUAUUUUAUAUUUCACUUGAAUUUGCGAGGUUGCUAAUUGCUUUAUUUCAUAAUUAAGUUUUUAUUGUGCUGUUUAUCCUCCUUGAAAGAUAGAAAAAAAAAUUAAUUGAUGGCAUAACCGAUUAGAUGAUUAUUUGAUAGAUUAAAGUAUUAGUAUGCCUAUUAGGACAAUUAGGCCUUUUCAAAAUGAUUUAUAAAAAUGAAAGGCAUUCAUGUCCUUUUCCUAGUGUAAUAACUAUAAUGAAUACUCAUGAAUUAGAUGCAUUUCUUAGUUAAAAAAAUAAAUAUAGUAGACUAGGUAUGAUCAAUUAUGACAAAGGAUAGAGUUGGUCACUAACAUUGUUACAUGUAAAAGGUUUAUUAAUUGUGAUAAAACCGAUAAAUUAGCAUAAAAGAGAUAGAGAUACAUUUUUCUAUGAAGUAUAUAUGUGCCUCACUUGUCUCCUAGUUCUAUCUAAGAGAGAAAACUUACAAGUAAAAACAAAACAAAAUAAAUUGGCACACAAUGAAAUGUGCUUUUUAGACCUAAAAGCCUUUGACAAGUAAUGACAUAAACAUUAGCUAUAAUAGAAGUCAUUCAAACUUAGUGAUAAGGAUGAUAAUUUGGCUAACAAUCGCCAAUAUCUCUUAAGAACUUGAAAAAAGGUAUUAAUAAGAUCGGUUAAUCAAAACCUAAUUUAGAAUAAUGCAAUAAUUAAACACACAAGUAAUGAUGGAUAAAAAGAUACCCUAACAAAAUAACGCGUAGUGACCAAAAACCUUAUAAAAAGUUUUUAUGUGUUAUAUUUUUUAUUAAAAGGAAAUAAUACAUAGGAUAAUGAUUUGACUCAACAUGAAUUAUGAUAUAAAAUAUUUAAAAUUAUGGUCAACAUUUUGUUAAACAUUGCUUAUUAGUCUAAGCGACUAGAGGAAAUAAUUAUUUGAUCGACAAGAAAUGAUGAUUAAUCAGUUGUUUAGGAGUCAUGAUCAGCUAAAGAAAGCGAUCAACCACAAAAACAAAAGUCCACAUAGUCAACUAAAAGGUUCAAUUCUUUUUAAAAAUAGGACUCCUCAAUAUAUUAGAAUUUAUUAGUGUUGUAGAUUAGUUAGAAUUCACGUUAUCAAUAUAAAAACACAUAAUAGUUUGGAUUAUAUUAAGAUUUAAUGUAUAAAUUCUUUAUCUAAUAAAAAUAAUAUGUAUAGGAUUAUAAUUAGAUAUUUAUGCGAAACUCAAACUUUAAUAUUAUAUCAUUAUAAAUAUGUCAUUCCUGAGAAAUAUAGCCAGCUUCACAUAUACAAUUUCAGUUCUUUAAUUUAUCUUUAUUUACAACUUUAUUUACAGCUUUCAUUAUUUUUCCAAUACCUUUGAAUUGCUGCCAUUCUCCCUUUUCUCUUCCUAUUUCUUUUCUUGUGUAUCGGGACAUGUUAUCUUUUUGAAGGAUUUGAAAUCUUUAUAUUCCAUCUUCGUUGCUAGUUAUCUUCUCUCUGAUAUUAAGUUCCUAUUGUGUAGUUUUUCCUCCUUGAAAGGUUGAAACAGUUAAUUGAUAGAACAACUGAUCAGAAAAUUAUUUGACAGAUCAACAGAAGUCCAUUCUUUUCUUGGAGAAAGAUAUGGCAGAAGAAGAAAAAUGCUUCCAUUUCUGCUGUUUCUUUUCCUUUUCUUUUUUAUUUGAUGAAGAUUUUCUGUUCUUUUCCUCCUCUCUUCUCCAUGAAACAGAACUUUUCUAUGAGAGAAGGCACAAUUCUACAGCAAAAAAUGGCAAGGAAAGCUGUUGAUUAAUGAGGUGUCCUGAUCAGUUGUGUUUAUAAAUCAUUCUUCUGCCAACAAUUAUUUCUCAUACUGCCAUAUUUGUACUUUGUUUUAUUUGGAGGACUGAAGAUACAAAGAAAUUAAAAAGAACUUUCUUAUACCGAACAAUUCCCUUUAAAAAGUUUGUAGAAAGAAAUUCUCUUUCUUUCUCUUAAAACUUGAACAUAGUUACAUAUAGACAUGCUAACGUAGGCAUAUAGCACUGUCAUUCAUUUCCAUUAUCCCCGUCACUUCCCUUCAGGCAAUCUAGAUUAGAAACUAUCUGUAUGGCAUCUUUUGCUAUAAGAAACGAAACUAUUCUGGAUCUCUUUCUCUUGUACUUGCAGAGCCAUCAGUAUCUUUUGAAGGGUUAGCCCGCAUUUCGUUGAGAAAUUUUGUUAUAGUCUGCACAAAGACUCCAUUGUCGUCAGGUUGAGUACUUGAGAAUGCUGGACAAGUAGUGAUGCCAUUGCUGCUACUCCUAGAACUCUAUGAAAAGAAUACAACUAUAUACAGUGAAGCUAUAGUUAGGUGGCCAAGAAUUACGUUUGAAUGCAAGCUAUUCUCUCAUUUUAUCUUGGCCAGUCUUUCAUAUUAGCCUAUUUUUCUUAGAAAAGAAAUGUCGGCUACUCAGCAUUAACAAUGGAGACUGCGACAUCGGUUCCAUUCUUGCUAUUUUUGUGCUUGACAUGCAAGAGCAUGUACAUAAGAUGCGCGUAUGAUCAGAACUAUGGAGAACUGAGAUUAGAGUAUUGGACAAUCAUAUCAGCUACUGAUCAUUCAUAUACUCCUUUACUUCAUAAGAUUAACUUGAAUAGAAGCUCAAUUGUAACACACUAAUUACUUUGAGAUUUUGAGGUCCUUAAGAGUUCCAAUGCUCAGGUUCAUGCUCACAUGCAUCCCUCUGCCUCCUAAGAAUAUUUUGAGUUCAAAAUUUUCUUUUCUUCUCACUUUUUGCUAAUGUUUAUGCUCGCCAAAACUAUAAUAUAAUGAUGAUAUAUACACGUAAAAUAGAUUCCGACUAAUGUUGAUAAAAAGAAUCUUACUGAGGAUACUCGUCGUCGCUUUGGCUGUCUGGUUCUGGUGUUCAUCGUCUCAAUCAGUUCAUCAAACCGAGAAAUUAAAAAAAUAUCAACUCAAAUCAAUUUUCAUUUCACCAGAGAGUAAAAGAUUACUAAUUAAUAUCUUAGCGUUUAAAACAGUACUCCAUAUUGUGCUUCUGUGCUAUGCUGCCAUACAUAGGUGCUUCUAUAUAUAUAUGAAACGAGGAAAAAAAUGGAAAUUUAUAUUUUUUUGAUAGCUUGGUAGUUCAGGGAGAAAUUCAAACUUGCUCCUUGAGCUUUCUACUUGGAGGUCUCGAUCGGUUUCACCUCCUGGUACAGGUAGAGUGGGACUUAGGUAGGUGCCACCCCCCCCCCCCUUUUUUUUUGUGUGUAAUUCAAGGCCCGUUCCCUCUCUCGAUGUGUAUAAUAAUAAUAAUAAUAGAGUUUAUGUUAGGGGAAAAAAAGGGUUUAAGUGUACAGAAAAAAAGAAGAAUAAUCUUAAUUACUAGUGGGGCAAUAUAAUAGAAACUAUAGAAACAUUUGGUAACGGACAUCAACUUACCUGCUUUACAAUUUUUUCAUACUUUCUUGCACAUUGAUAAAGCCUUCUUUCAUCUUCCUUAGGCGUUGUCAUGCUGUCUCUCUCUUUCUUUUCAUGAAGUGCUCGAGGCCACAUGAAAGCUUAAUAUAUAUUCAUCAUGGGAAGACAAUGGCUUGGGUUUCAGAAAUCUCUCAGAAAGUGGCCGUUACCACCGCCUUGUAUGCACCGGCAAUAAAGAGAAGAGAAAGACCGUUAUGGGCUGCCAUUCCUUCUUUCUUACGCACACAAAACACUAUUCUUGUGAUCCGAAAUUAGGUCAAACUUUCUCUUGCAUGUAGAAAGGAAACCUAGCACAAAGGAACAAGUAAUGAAAAAGAAGAAGAAAAAACCAUCUGCCAUGUUUGUAAAGCAUCAACGGAAUUGGAGGAGUCUUUUAAUCCUUUCUUACAGGUUCAGAAUUCGUGGGACUUUAUAUAUACAGUUGAAUAUUUCAUGGAUUUAUCGGCCGUCCAAGAAAAAGAGACGAUACCUUUUUGUAGUUCAAUCCAGGGCCUUGUUUGACUAUAUAUAGUUCCAAUUGCCCAGUGGCAUGUAUAAUCAUAGUUCCAUUUAUCUCCCGUUUUCUUUUCCAUUUAUAAAGGAAAGUAUUUGAACACAAGUUGACAAAAUUAUAUUAUAAAUAAACUAAACACAUAAGGAAGGAAAAAGGUUGAAAUUAUAUUCGAAAUCUUGAAAUUCUAAAUGUGGAGGAGGGCAAGUGAUAAAUCUAAUAAACCCAAACCCAUCUGUCUAGGUAUGAGCAAGAAGAGGAGAGCAGGUGCUUGUGAUUUUGAAUGAAAGGUGGGCAGUAAAAUGCUUAACUCAGUUUAGGCGUUCUUCACCUUUAUGAAAGGGGAGAGGUUUUCUAGGUUUAGUGUUACAUAUAUAUAUAUAUAUAUAUAUAUAUAUAUAUAUAUAUAUAUAUCAUGCGGAUACAACUUGUGUAAAUCUUUUUGUGCAAAACAAAUAGUCCUUGAAUUUCCAAUUAAUUUUCACAACAAGCAUUGGAUCUAAGAGAAAUAAUAAAAAAAAAUAAAAAGCGGCAAUGCCUAAAGUGACUACAAGAAGCAGGUUGAAGAAAAAACCAUGCAGCAAGGAGGUUGCCAGUGGCACAAACAAAUCGUGAAGCACUGAGAUUAGUCCGGACAGGUGAAAUAAGAGGUGCUGCUUGGAAUUGGCCUCUUCCGCACUUGAUCGUGUUACACAUGUUGCCUCAAUCCUCCCUGAGAUUCACGUGGAAUGCCCAGUAAAUUUACACACCCGAUCUACGGUAGAUUAACAACUAAAUAAUAGAUUCAAUAAACAAGUAAAGAUAUAUCCUUAUUUGUUAACAAGUUAUUUUAAAGAUUUUUCUUAUCUAGAAAAAAUUUAAUUGGGGUUUCAAUUACAGUAUUAUAAGCUAAAAAUACUCAAUCAUUUAUAGUUAAAACAAUAUGUUAUUAAUUACUGAUUUAUAUCAAGGAUUGAUUAAAAUAAAAAAAUUAAUAAUUUAUCCACUCAUUAACAGGUUGAUUCGACUUAUUUUAACUUUUCUUGUUUCGACAACAACUACCGAACAAGCAUUUUCAGCUAUAUGAAGAUUAUUAAAACAAGACUUCAUAAUCGGAUAGAUGAUGAUUUUCUUGUAAAUUAUUUAAUUAUCUAUAUAGAAAGAAAAAUUACUGAAAGAUUAACAAUUGAUAUGAUAAUCGAUGAUUUCUACUUCAUGAAAUAACGACGAGCACAAUUAAAAUAAAUAUAUAAGAAUAAUUCUUUAUUAUUUUUUACUUUAUUUCAAAGUUUUAUCAAACAUAAAUAAUGCAUCGUUUUAGCUAAUGUUUCUUAUAUAUUUUAUAUGUUUAUAUUUAAUAGGUAUAAGAACCAACAAAAUUAAAGUGAUGAAUAUAUUAUGUAAAUAAAAUUAACUUUAUAACUUUGACUCAAUUUAGUAUUACUUUAAACCUUUUACCUUAUAUAAAGAUCAUCAUAUAUUUGUAAUAAGUUAUUUAAAUAAAACUAAAUCAUGUAUUUUUUAUUUUUUUUAACAAUUCAUGCACAAUAAUGUUUUUUUAAAAAAUAUAUUUUGCUAUAUUAGUUUUUUCUAUCAAAUAAUCCCAGCUCCGUAACUAGAUGUACCUGACCUGGGAUUCUCACAGUGUCAUCAGAAGUUCAAGAGAAUAGCAAAACGGCUGAAAUAAGCCAUAGCAAGGGUGAACCAGCGUUCUAGUCCUACUGGAGCCACCACCUUGGGGAGGGCUUCUCCUUGAGCGACCCGGCCCGGAAAUGUGGAAACAAUUUAACCACAAUUUGUUUCCUACCACAAAAAAAACAAGGUAACUGAUGCAGCAAAUAUUCAUGUCAAAUGAACUCCACAUUUCACUUAGUUCAAGUAAUUUCACACAAAAGCUGAAGACUUUAACAUAUGGAAAUCCAAUUCUGCCCAUGAUUCUAUACAAACUGAAGAAAAACAUAAAAGGGUAUUUUUUCGGGGAAAAAAAAGUAAACCAUAAGGCAGUGACCAAGGACAGAGCCAAAAAAAAUUAAUAAUAAAGAAAAAAUAGAGUUGGAAUAAGGGAUUAAAUUUAAUUUAGGGAAUGGAUUAAGAAUAACAAUGAAUAUUCACAGGUGAAUUUUUUUUCAUAGGAUAAAAAUAUUUAAUCGGUUUUAAGUAUCAUUAUAAAUACUCAUUAUCUAAUUAUUAUUUAUUAUUCAAUAUAUAUAUAUAUAUAUAUAUAUAUAUAUAUAUGAGGUUUGGUCUGAUUUUGUAUGGAGUUUGAUAAUAUUUAUACCCUCAAAUAAAAUAAAUAUAUAAAAACAUUGAUUUAGAUUGGAUUGGACUGAUUGGAUUUGGAUUAAAUUUUUAAUUGCAGGGCAGAAUGGACACUUUGAAAGUUAUGGCCGGUAAAAGGCCUGUGAUGACUUACGAGGCCCAUUUGACACUUGCAAGCAUGAGGUUCAGAAGACUUGAUACUUAUAAAAAGCAAGAAUGACGUCAUCCAAACAUGGCGGCUUUCAAGAAUGGGUUAUGGCAACCACCCACACGUUGCAUGGCAGCGUGCCACGUCAACCAGAAUCUCUGUUGUUUUUUGGAGGAUACCUUUUUUAACGACAAAUGAUCUAUAACAAUCUGAAGUCCCUUCUUCUUUUCUCCCAUCAAUCCUCCUUUUUUCCCCUUUCAUGACCCCCUCGUGUCCACCCAAGCGCCCAGGCCUGGCUGCCUCCAGGCCCAGCUUUCUUUCCUCUUUUUUUUUUUUCUAGUUAUUUUUUUCAAUACUUAUUAUUUUCCAUUUGACAAUUGUUUUUCAAUAAUUAAUGAUUUUUUGAUUUUCAUAUACCAUCAAAAAAAUUAUUUCCAUAAUUUUAAUUGUUUUUUAAAAAUAGUAUAAAAAUAAUUAAUGUGUAAAAAAUAAUGAUUAAUUAUCAAAAAAGAUUUACAAUAAUAUGGGUUUGGUGAUGGAUGAUUAAUCAAUCUAAGAUAUAAAAUUUUCAAAAUUCUAAUGAUAAUAACAUUGAGAUAGAAUUGAUAUAACACUAUUUUUUCAUUAAAAAAUUUAGCACUACUAACCUUAGAUUAACAUCUAAAAACAAAAUGGCUCUAAAUAAUAAGUAUUUAAUGGUUAAUGAUUUUUUAUUUCUCAAUUUAUAGGGAAAUGACCCUUUUUUGGUUUCUUUUUCAUUAUUUAUUAUUUUCUUAGUGACACUUUUUAUUCAAUAAUUUUUAUUUUUUUUAUUUUUCACAGAACCUCUUAAAACAUAAUUAUUAAUUUUCACAAUUUUGAAAUUUUUUUAUUUAAAAUAAAUUAGUAUAAUAAAUUAUUAUUGUACAAAAUAAUGAUUAUAUAACAGUUUUUUUUCAUAGUAAAAAUAGUUUGGUAAUUAAUAAUUAAUCAAUCUAAGAAGCAUAGUUUUUAAAAUCUUAGUGAUAAUUACAUUGAAACAGAUUCAUAAUUUGAUAUAGCAAUAUUUUUUUAAUUAGAAAGUAUCAACACUAACCAUAGAUUAACAUUUAGAAGAAUAAAGAAUCUACAUGAUAAAUAUUUAAUGGUUAUAUAUAUAUAUUAUCUUUUAGUUUAUAGGGAAAUGGCCUAGUCUCUAUCCUUAUUUAUGAAGAAAGUUUCCAAUCUAUCAUUAUAUCCUUAAUUGGCUAGUUAUUCUUAUAAAAUGAUUGAGUUUCCAAUCUAUUAUAUGUUAACUUUUCCCAUCCAAAUUAACAAGAUCAAUCAUGAAGAAUACUUAAUAUUAUACAAAAAAAUGGCAACCUUGUGGAGGUCCUGGAGGAGGAGGGUCACCGAAUAGAGAAGAAGAAGGGAAGGGAAUGAGGUUUCGAAGAGAGAGAAAAGACUGGUUUUGUGUGAAUUUUUCUUAAAAAAUACAUGUUCAUGAAAAUAAGUUUUUAUUUUAACUAUAUCAAAAUAGAAUUAUGUGGUAUGUAUUUUUAGCAAACCAUCAACCAUCUAAGAAAUCAUAAACAUCCAAUUAGUGUUUUUUUUUUUUCAUAAUACCCCUUUAUUGUAUGGUACGGUUGGUGGUGUUGUCCCGCACCCAAAACCUAUUAAUCAUAUCUUACAAUAAAACAAGAAAUAAAUCACAAAAAAGUAAAUAUUAUCGUUCCGCUCUAUUUCAAUUAGUGCGCUCCACUUUAGCAUCUAUCUAUCAGCCACAAACUAUACAUGUUAUUUUUUUAUACUUUAUGUAUGCGCGCACACUUGCAAUUUACUAUGAUAUACACGUAAUAUCUUGGUUCAUGGGGUUAAUAGUGAAAUCCUUGGAGAUUUAGUCUGAGAUGAUAAGUGAACAUGCAUGGUACCUACGCUAUCAUCCAAAAGAUAUUAAAUAAGAUGACAAGAAUAUUAUUUUCCUGUGAAUCCAUCAAUUCAGGUCUGGAUGGACUGUCACAAAACAGCGUGCGAAAUCUUGUUAGGCAGAAAAAGAGAGGAUUCAAGCGAUCGACCAAUGCAAUUGAUCUACACAUCUGCUUGUGUUGGGCGAUUAAUGCGUUUUAAUCAAACCAUGUGGUUUCUCUUCGAGGCCACAAAAAAACUAGGAAAACUGUCGCAAAACAGUGUGCUCUCGAUCAGGAGUGGAGGAAUCACAAGAUUGAGAGAGUGAUGAUAGUGAUGUCGAGGAAGAAAAGAGUAAAUAAACAGAAAAAAUGGUGCGGAAACUCUCACAACAUUCAUUCAAUAAUGGUAUUUGCCUUGACUUGGAUCCUUCAAAACCUACCUCCUAAACUAUUUUUUGUAUGUUUCACAACCAACAGUUUGCUGCCCCCACGCCUUUUUGAACACCGUCGGGGUUUGGUCAUCUUCUUGGUAGAAACCAUGCCAUGAUAUAUGGUGGAAAGUGGGUGCUGAUAACAAUGGAAAUUAAAGCUUUGAUGAGAAACAAUGCUUUGGGAAGAAAAAGGUUUUGUUUCCUUCGUGCUUUGACCAUUUAUCUUGCUUUGACUAAACUGGGGGCCGGUAAUACAUGGCACCCGCCAACUUGUGAAGAAAAUUAAUAAUGUAAGAGAAAAUACGGCCAAAAUCAGCAACACCUUCCAAAAUUAUAAAAAACCAGAGCAAGUUCCCGUGCUCAGGUGAAGGCUGACCUAUAAUUCUUACCUUCGUCUACACGAUUUACGUUUCGGUCUUUCUAGUUUACUCUCAGAUAU
rnacentral:lncRNA from 1 species